rnacentral:rRNA from 1 species
AUUGAACGCUGGCGGCAUGCUUUACACAUGCAAGUCGAACGGCAGCGCGGGCUUCGGCCUGGCGGCGAGUGGCGAACGGGUGAGUAAUACAUCGGAACGUGCCCAGUAGUGGGGGAUAGCUCGGCGAAAGCCGGAUUAAUACCGCAUACGACCUGAGGGUGAAAGCGGGGGAUCUUCGGACCUCGCGCUAUUGGAGCGGCCGAUGGCAGAUUAGCUAGUUGGUGGGGUAAAGGCCUACCAAGGCGACGAUCUGUAGCUGGUCUGAGAGGACGACCAGCCACACUGGGACUGAGACACGGCCCAGACUCCUACGGGAGGCAGCAGUGGGUAAUUUUGGACAAUGGGCGAAAGCCUGAUCCAGCAAUGCCGCGUGUGUGAUGAAGGCCUUCGGGUUGUAAAGCACUUUUGGCGGGAACGAAAAGGACUGUGCCAAUACCACGGUUCGAUGACGGUACCCGCAGAAUAAGCACCGGCUAACUACGUG